rnacentral:misc_RNA from 1 species
CCAAUAGCGUAUAUUAAAGUUGUUGCAGUUAAAAAGCUCGUAGUUGAAUUUCGGGAUUGGCGCAUCGGUCGUGCCUUACGGGGUAUGAACUGGUGCAGUCAAUUUCUCACCUUCUGGAGAACCGCGAUGUCCUUAAUUGGGUGCCGCGGGGAACCAGGACCUUUACUUUGAAAAAAUUAGAGUGUUUAAAGCAGGCAUUUUUGCUUGAAUACAUUAGCAUGGAAUAAUAAAAUAGGAUGGCAUGGUUCUAUUUUGUUGGUUUCUAGGACCACCGUAAUGAUUAAUAGGGAUAUUUGGGGGCAUUAGUAUUCAAUUGUCAGAGGUGAAAUUCUUGGAUUUAUUGAAGACUAACUACUGCGAAAGCAUUUGCCAAGGAUGUUUUCAUUAAUCAAGAACGAAAGUUAGGGGAUCGAAGACGAUCAGAUACCGUCGUAGUCUUAACCAUAAACUAUGCCGACUAGGGAUCGGAUGAUGUUAAUUUUAUAAUGACUCAUUCGGCGCCUUACG